AACGCACGAGACCUGCGGACCUGCGGAGGGAUCAUUAAUGAGAAGCUGCUCCUCGUGGGUAGACCUCCCACCCUCUGUGAACUUACCUUUGUUGCUUUGGCAGGCCCGUCCUCUGGACCGCCGGCUUCGGCUGGCCCGUGCCUGCCAGAGGAUUCCAAACCCUGUCUGUCAGUGUUGUCUGAGUCUAUAUGAAAUCGUUAAAACUUUCAACAAUGGAUCUCUAGAUCGGAAGAGCACACG
rnacentral:misc_RNA from 1 species